UACGUAGGGGGCAAGCGUUGUUCGGAAUUACUGGGCGUAAAGGGCGCGUAGGCGGCACAGCAAGUCGGGAGUGAAAGCCCGGGGCCCAACCCCGGAACUGCUUUCGAAACUGCUGAGCUAGAGUACAGAAGGGGCAACCGGAAUUCCCAGUGUAGCGGUGAAGUGCGUAGAUAUUGGGAAGAACACCUGAGGCGAAGGCGGGUUGCUAGGCUGAUACUGACGCUGAGGCGCGAAAGCCAGGGGAGCAAACGGG
rnacentral:rRNA from 1 species